GAUGAACGCUGGCGGCGUGCCUAAUACAUGCAAGUCGAGCGAACGGACGAGAAGCUUGCUUCUCUGAUGUUAGCGGCGGACGGGUGAGUAACACGUGGAUAACCUACCUAUAAGACUGGGAUAACUUCGGGAAACCGGAGCUAAUACCGGAUAAUAUUUUGAACCGCAUGGUUCAAAAGUGAAAGACGGUCUUGCUGUCACUUAUAGAUGGAUCCGCGCUGCAUUAGCUAGUUGGUAAGGUAACGGCUUACCAAGGCAACGAUGCAUAGCCGACCUGAGAGAGUGAUCGGCCACACUGGAACUGAGACACGGUCCAGACUCCUACGGGAGGCAGCAGUAGGGAAUCUGCCGCAAUGGGGGAAAGCCUUACGGAGCAACGCCGCGUGAGUGAUGAAGGUCUUCGGAUCGUAAAACUCUGUUAUUAGGGAAGAACAUAUGUGUAAGUAACUGUGCACAUCUUGACGGUACCUAAUCAGAAAGCCACGGCUAACUACGUG
rnacentral:rRNA from 1 species